AACGAACGCUGGCGGCAUGCCUAACACAUGCAAGUCGAACGAGAUCUUCGGGUCUAGUGGCGCACGGGUGCGUAACGCGUGGGAAUCUGCCCUUUGGUUCGGAAUAACAGUUGGAAACGACGGCUAAUACCGGAUGAUGACGAAAGUCCAAAGAUUUAUCGCCAGAGGAUGAGCCCGCGUAGGAUUAGCUAGUUGGGGUGGUAAAGGCGCACCAAGGCGACGAUCCUUAGCUGGUCUGAGAGGAUGAUCAGCCACACUGGGACUGAGACACGGCCCAGACUCCUACGGGAGGCAGCAGUGGGGAAUAUUGGACAAUGGGCGAAAGCCUGAUCCAGCAAUGCCGCGUGAGUGAUGAAGGCCUUAGGGUUGUAAAGCUCUUUUACCCGGGAUGAUAAUGACAGUACCGGGAGAAUAAGCUCCGGCUAACUCCGUGCCAGCAGCCGCCGUAA
rnacentral:rRNA from 1 species